CUGCGAGUUCGCGGGAGAGUAAGUUAUUGCCAGGGUUUUUAUUUUAUACUUUAAACAUUGAUUUUAUUUUUUAUGUUUUUAGAUGUUCAUGUUUUUGAAUGUUUUAUUCGAAUAAUAUAAAAAAUAAAAUAUAUAUUGACAUGGAUUAAACAAAGAUAUAUAUUAUUCUAUGUUGUAUAAACAAAUUGGCAAAAUAGAGAUGGAAGAUAAAAAUAUGGCCAAAGAAAG
rnacentral:misc_RNA from 1 species